GGCAAAAGCUCAAAUUUGAAAUCUGGCGUCUUCGACGUCCGAGUUGUAAUUUGAAGAAGGCGACUUUGUAGCUGGUCCUUGUCUAUGUUCCUUGGAACAGGACGUCAUAGAGGGUGAGAAUCCCGUGUGGCGAGGAUCCCAGUUAUUUGUAAAGUGCUUUCGACGAGUCGAGUUGUUUGGGAAUGCAGCUCUAAGUGGGUGGUAAAUUCCAUCUAAAGCUAAAUAUUGGCGAGAGACCGAUAGCGAACAAGUACAGUGAUGGAAAGAUGAAAAGAACUUUGAAAAGAGAGUGAAAAAGUACGUGAAAUUGUUGAAAGGGAAGGGCAUUUGAUCAGACAUGGCGUUUGCUUCGGCUUUCGCUGGGCCAGCAUCAGUUUUAGCGGUUGGAUAAAUCCUCGGGAAUGUGGCUCUGCUUCGGUAGAGUGUUAUAGCCCGUGGGAAUACAGCCAGCUGGGACUGAGGAUUGCGACUUUUGUCAAGGAUGCUGGCGUAAUGGUUAAAUGCCGCCCGUC
rnacentral:rRNA from 1 species